rnacentral:rRNA from 1 species
AGCAAUUUGUACUGUGAAACUGCGAAUGGCUCAUUAAAUCAGUUAUCGUUUAUUUGAUAGUACCUUACUACAUGGAUACCUGUGGUAAUUCUAGAGCUAAUACAUGCUAAAAACCUCGACUUCGGAAGGGGUGUAUUUAUUAGAUAAAAAACCAAUGCCCUUCGGGGCUCCUUGGUGAAUCAUAAUAACUUAGCGAAUCGCAUGGCCUUGCGCCAGCGAUGGUUCAUUCAAAUUUCUGCCCUAUCAACUUUCGAUGGUAGGAUAGUGGCCUACCAUGGUGGCAACGGGUAACGGGGAAU